GCCUUCGGGUUGUAAACCGCUUUCAGCAGGGAAGAAGCGAAAGUGACGGUACCUGCAGAAGAAGCACCGGCUAACUACGUGCCAGCAGCCGCGGUAAUACGUAGGGUGCAAGCGUUGUCCGGAUUUAUUGGGCGUAAAGAGCUCGUAGGCGGUUAGUCACGUCGGAUGUGAAAUCCCAGUGCUUAACACUGGGCCUGCAUUCGAUACGGGCUGACUAGAGCGUUGUAGGGGAGACUGGAACUCCUGGUGUAGCGGUGAAAUGCGCAGAUAUCAGGAAGAACACCGGUGGCGAAGGCGGGUCUCUGGGCAACUACUGACGCUGAGGAGCGAAAGCGUGGGGAGCAAACAGGAUUAGAUACCCUGGUAGUCCAC
rnacentral:rRNA from 1 species